rnacentral:rRNA from 1 species
GGACUACAGGGGUAUCUAAUCCCAUUCGCUACCCUAGCUUUCGUUCCUCAGCGUCAGUUACAGCCCAGCAAGCCGCUUGCGCCACCGGUGUUCUUCCAGAUAUCUACGCAUUUCACCGCUACACCUGGAAUUCCGCUUGCCUCUACUGUACUCCAGUCCGCCAGUAUCCAAUGCACUCCCGAGGUUGAGCCCCAGUCUUUAACAUCAGACUUAACGAACCGCCUACGAACUCUUUACGCCCAAUAAAUCCGGACAACGCUUGCAUCCUACGUCUUACCGCGGCUGCUGGCAC